rnacentral:misc_RNA from 1 species
GAUGAAGAACGCAGCGAAAUGCGAUAAGUAAUGUGAAUUGCAGAAUUCAGUGAAUCAUCGAAUCUUUGAACGCACAUUGCGCCCGCCGGCACUCCGGCGGGCAUGCCUGUCCGAGCGUCAUUUCAACCCUCAGGCCCGAACCCCCCCGGGGGGGGCGGGCCUGGUGUUGGGGCUCGGGGUCCGCGAGGCCCCCGUCCCCUAAAUCCAGUGGCGGUCGCGCCGCACCCUCCCCUGCGUAGUAGCACACCUCGCACCGGAGAGCAGCGCGUCCACACCGUGAAACCCCCAACUUACCAAGGUUGACCUCGGAUCAGGUAGGAAUACCCGCUGAACUUAAGCAUAUCAAUAAGCGGAGGA